AUUGAACGCUGGCGGCAGGCCUAACACAUGCAAGUCGAGCGGAUGAAGGGAGCUUGCUCCUGGAUUCAGCGGCGGACGGGUGAGUAAUGCCUAGGAAUCUGCCUGGUAGUGGGGGAUAACGUCCGGAAACGGGCGCUAAUAACGCAUACGUCCUGAGGGAGAAAGUGGGGGAUCUUCGGACCUCACGCUAUCAGAUGAGCCUAGGUCGGAUUAGCUAGUUGGUGGGGUAAAGGCCUACCAAGGCGACGAUCCGUAACUGGGCUGAGAGGAUGAUCAGUCACACGGGAAAUGAGACACGGUCCAGACUCCUACGGGAGGCAGCAGUUGGGAAGAUUGGACAAAGGGCGAAAGCCUGAUCCAGCCAUGCCGGGUGGGUGAAGAAGGGCUUCGGAUUGUAAAGCACUUUAAGUUGGGAGGAAGGGCAGUAAGUUAAUACCUUGCUUUUUUGACGUUACCAACAGAAUAAGCACCGGCUAACUUCGUG
rnacentral:rRNA from 1 species